UUUAAUUCCCUCUUAGAGAUCUGCAAGGGAUCAUCAGAAGUGGUGGGAUUUGGAUCACAAUUUGAGAUCAUCAUGUUCGCUAGAUUAACUGACUGUAUAUUAAUCUCUUAUUGUUGUUUUUAUUAUUUUGUAUCAUAAUUUUGGGCUAUUCUCCAAAUAGAAGAAAUAUCUAUCGUGUCCAUAUGAGUUUGGUGGUGUUAGGCC
rnacentral:lncRNA from 1 species